AUGCACAGAAUUCAAUGAUUCGAACCUGCGGCAGGUUCGUGUCGAACGCAGUGAGACAACGGAGCCGCUUGCGGCGACGGCCCGAAGGGCGAGCGAAGCGAGUCAUCCUGCACGACCCACCA
rnacentral:sRNA from 2 species